rnacentral:rRNA from 1 species
CCUACGGGAGGCAGCAGUGGGGAAUCUUGCGCAAUGGGCGAAAGCCUGACGCAGCAACGCCGCGUGCGGGAAGAAGGCCCUAGGGUUGUAAACCGCUUUCAGUAGGAACGAAAAUGACGGUACCUGCAGAAGAAGGUGCGGCCAACUACGUGCCAGCAGCCGCGGUGACACGUAGGCACCAAGCGUUGUCCGGAUUUAUUGGGCGUAAAGAGCUCGUAGGCGGUUCAGUAAGUCGGGUGUGAAAACUCUGGGCUUAACCCAGAGCCGCCACUCGAUACUGCUGUGACUUGAGUUCGGUAGGGGAGCAGGGAAUUCCUAGUGUAGCGGUGAAAUGCGCAGAUAUUAGGAGGAACACCGGUGGCGAAGGCGCUGCUCUGGGCCGAUACUGACGCUGAGGAGCGAAAGCGUGGGUAGCAAACAGGAUUAGAUACCCUGGUAGUCCACGCCGUAAACGUUGGGCACUAGGUGUGGGUUCCAACCAACGGAAUCCGCGCCGUCGCUAACGCAUUAAGUGCCCCGCCUGGGGAGUACGGCGGCAACGCUAAAACUCAAAUGAAUUGACGGCUGAGACGNGCCGAGACGACGACGAGGGAGAGG